UUUUUUUGCAUCAGACUCUGCGUUUUUGAGCAGAGAAUUGUGGAGUGAAGCCAGAAUCUUCAAACUAUUUGUGCCGACGGUUAAAAUUAAUCAACCACAGAACCCAAUAGUCGUCAUCUUGACGUACAUGCGAAGCGGGUCAACUCUUCUCGGAGAAGUGUUUAGAGAACACAACAACACUAUCUACUUAUUCGAACCCCUACGACUGCUGCAAAGUCUCAAAGACAAAUUGUCAAGUGAAGAAAUUGAGGAACAAAAACUUAGAUGGAUACAUCAUUUUUCAAAGUGCAAUUUCAGCGAUAUUCUUUCGGAUAUCAAAACUUCAAACUCGACAAAAAGGAGCAAAUUCGGCCUUGACCUUACAAUGAGUUCUCUGCCUCGAGUUUCAAAGAAGGACGGCAGUUUUUAUUCAGAUCUGGUUUCGAUGUCUGACCUCUCAAACAAAUGCAACAGCAGCCAAACAAUUCCGGUCAUCAAAACAAUCCGACUGAACCUCACGGAUUUCUCGGAAUACAUGAGAAAAAACGAAGGCG